CCCCAGCGCCACAAGUGGCAACCAUAUUUAUUUGGUCUAAAGCGUCCGUAGCAGGUUAAGUAAAUCUUUUGUGAAAUUGUUGCGCUUAACGUAACAACGUGCAGGAGACACUACUUGACUAGGGACUGGGAGAAGUUAGGAGUAUUUCAUGGGGAGUGGUAAAAUAUUAUAAUCCAUGAAAGACUACCUGUGGCGAAGGCGCCUAACUAGAACAGAUUUGACUGUGAGGGACGAAAGCCAGGGGAGCAAACCG
rnacentral:rRNA from 1 species